rnacentral:rRNA from 1 species
AAUAUAUGACAAUGGGCGAAAGCCUGAUCCAGCUAUGCCGCGCGUGUGAAGAAGGUCUCCGGUUUGUAAAGCACUGUAAGUUUGGAGGAAGGGCAGUAAGCUAAUACCUUGCUGUUUUGACGUUACCGACAGAAUAAGCACCGGAUAACUUUGUGCCAGCAGCCGCGGUAAUACGUAGGGUGCAAGCGUUAAGCGGAAUUACUGGGCGUAAAGCGCGCGUAGGUGGUUUGAUAAGUUGGAUGUGAAAGCCCCGGGCUUAACCUGGGAAUUGCUUUCAAAACUGACGGGCUAGAGUACGGUAGAGGGUAGUGGAAUUUCCUGUGUAGCGGUGAAAUGCGUAGAUAUAGGAAGGAACAUCAGUGGCGAAGGCGACUACCUGGACUGAUACUGACACUGAGGUGCGAAAGCGUGGGGAGCAAACAGG